rnacentral:rRNA from 1 species
GGUGAACGCUGGCGGCGUGCUUAAGACAUGCAAGUCGAACGCAGUCUUCGGACUGAGUGGCGCACGGGUGAGUAACACGUAACUGACCUACCCCCAAGUCGCGGAUAACUGGCCGAAAGGUCAGCUAAUACGUGAUGUGAUGUCCCCUUUCUGGGGGGCCAUUAAAGGUUUACUGCUUGGGGAUGGGGUUGCGUUCCAUCAGCUAGCUGGCGGGGUAAAGGCCCACCAAGGCAACGACGGAUAGCCGGCCUGAGAGGGUGGCCGGCCACAGGGGCACUGAGACACGGGUCCCACUCCUACGGGAGGCAGCAGUUAGGAAUCUUCCACAAUGGGCGAAAGCCUGAUGGAGCGACGCCGCGUGAGGGAUGAGGGUUCUCGGAUCGUAAACCUCUGAAUCAGGGGCGAAAGACGCGUAAGCGGGAUGACGGUACCUGAGUAAUAGCACCGGCUAACUCCGUGCCAGCCGCCGCGGUAA